rnacentral:misc_RNA from 1 species
AAGUCGUAACAAGGUAACCGUAGGUGAACCUGCGGUUGGAUCAUUAAUAAAAUGACAAAAGUAUUUUGUCGUCCUUUUUUGGUUUUUUUUUUCUUUUUUUGUUUUCACUCCAAGUUGACCUUUGACGCUUGGUGUAAAAAAAAGAAAAAUAUCCCAAAACAACUCUGUGCGCACUGUAUCUGUCUCUGCCUGGUGGGGAAUGUGGGACCCCAGUAGUAAUCAUUCUGGGAUCUUGCCAGGCAGGUUUUUGUUGUCGACAAAACCUGUCACCCCUCAGGCACACAAUAAACUUUUGUGUUUUCUUGUGUUAAGUAGGAGAUUUUUGUGGUUACUUGGUAACUCAAAAAAGAAAAAAAAAAAAAAACAUAAAAACAACUUUUGACAACGGAUCUCUUGGCUCUC